GGAUUGUGGCUCAGUGGUAGAGCACUCACCUAGCCCAGGCGGGACCCGGGUUCGAACCUCAGCACCA
rnacentral:tRNA from 1 species